rnacentral:rRNA from 1 species
GCUCAUGGCUCAGGAUGAACGCUAGCUACAGGCUUAACACAUGCAAGUCGAGGGGCAUCAGUUUGGUUUGCUUGCAAACCAAAGCUGGCGACCGGCGCACGGGUGAGUAACACGUAUCCAACCUGCCUCAUACUCGGGGAUAGCCUUUCGAAAGAAAGAUUAAUAUCCGAUAGCAUAUAUUUCCCGCAUGGGUUUUAUAUUAAAGAAAUUCGGUAUGAGAUGGGGAUGCGUUCCAUUAGUUUGUUGGGGGGG